rnacentral:rRNA from 1 species
GACGAACGCUGGCGGCGUGCUUAACACAUGCAAGUCGAACGGAAAGGCCCUUCGGGGUACUCGAGUGGCGAACGGGUGAGUAACACGUGGGUGAUCUGCCCUGCACUUUGGGAUAAGCCUGGGAAACUGGGUCUAAUACCGAAUAUGACCAUGCACUUCCUGGUGUGUGGUGGAAAGCUUUUGCGGUGUGGGAUGGGCCCGCGGCCUAUCAGCUUGUUGGUGGGGUAAUGGCCUACCAAGGCGACGACGGGUAGCCGGCCUGAGAGGGUGACCGGCCACACUGGGACUGAGAUACGGCCCAGACUCCUACGGGAGGCAGCAGUGGGGAAUAUUGCACAAUGGGCGCAAGCCUGAUGCAGCGACGCCGCGUGAGGGAUGACGGCCUUCGGGUUGUAAACCUCUUUCAAUAGGGACGAAGCGCAA